AAGGAGUACUAUGACCUUUUGGAAGAAAUGAACAAAGGUUCCUAGCAGCUACCACUCUACUCUCUGUUUCUGUGUGUUUGGCUUUUUUGGAUUCCACAAAUAAAUGAGACAUGUAUGAAAUGCAUUUCAACCACUGUACAAUACUUCUAACAAAAGAAAACGUGUUCAGAACCAGAAGUAACACUCUGGAUUAACCUUCAAAUCCGAUACUAAUGUCCUGCAGGUCGAGUGCCUCCUCCUGACUUCCCCAUCUCCCCAAACCUACUGGGGGCUGCUUCUGCUGUUCCCACCACCACAGGGGAGAGAAGCAUCUACCUGAAGGUGCCACUGGAACUUGAGACGAACGCUGUGCCCUUCCUCUUCACAUUAACUGAAGGAAAACAGUGGACAAGAAUCACAGACAGCGUCUGCCAACACACUCGGAAAGCACAGAUAAACUAGCUCCCAGGCUCCAUGUGAGAACUCAGUCCUGUCUGAUACACUGGCCGCUCAGUCCUAGCCCGUACGGCGAGCAUCCUCCUGGCAUGACGACCUGCAAGGCCACGUGGGGAACAUGGAGCCCAGGAGGACAGAGCCUGGGUCCCCAAGUCACUGCUUGGAGGAGAGAUGUCCACUGAUCCAGAGACCAAUCUGGAUCAGAAACGAAUGUCUACUGAGUUUGAGCCUCUAUGUACUCCUGGGUUUGUUUAUUGCAGCAGUUAGGAGCACCUGUUUUCUACUAAUUUGCCAAAUAUUUCCUAAUUCAAGUACUUAUGUUAGGAAAAAAAACAUACCUUUAAAACACGGUGUUUUCAUUUCAUUUUGUCAAGGUAAGGUAUAGUUAGUUACAUAAACACCAGCGACAGACUUUGAAUUCAAAUUCGCUUAUCCUAAUGCAUUUCAGUCACUCCACACAAGGGGAAAGUCUACCUAUUCUAUCUGCUCCCUCUCCCUGGGUCCAUCACGUUCUGACAAUAUUCUCUAAAAUCUACUAAUGUAGAAGGUGGGGCCAUCAGAAAGGCAGGAAAUCAAAUGAGUUAUGAUCAUCAUAUCUUUACAUAAUCUUGCAACAGU